rnacentral:rRNA from 1 species
UACGUAGGGCGCAAGCGUUGUCCGGAAUUAUUGGGCGUAAAGAGCUCGUAGGCGGUCUGUCGCGUCGGCUGUGAAAACCCAGGGCUCAACCCUGGGCCUGCAUUCGAUACGGGCAGACUAGAGUACGGCAAGGGAGACUGGAAUUCCUGGUGUAGCGGUGAAAUGCGCAGAUAUCAGGAGGAACACCGGUGGCGAAGGCGGGUCUCUGGGCCGUAACUGACGCUGAGGAGCGAAAGCGUGGGGAGCGAACAGG